rnacentral:rRNA from 1 species
UCAUUCUAGAAACACUUUCCAGUACCUCUACUUCGUUACGACUUAUUCCAAUUUUUAAAUGAAAGCGACGGGCAAUAUGUACAUAUUUUAAUUUUUAAUCAUUUUAUUAUAUUAAAUAAAAUUACAUUUAAAUCCACCUUCAUUUUUAUAUUACAAAAAAAAAAUCCAUUUAAAUAAAUUUAUUGUAAUCCAUUAUAUUCUUAAUUAUAUUCUACAUCUUGAUCUGAAUUAAUUUUUAUUUUUAAUUUUUAAAUAUUAUUUUUAUUUUAAAAUAUUUUUUUAACAACGAUAUAUAAAAUUUUAAAUUAAGUAAAUUUAAUCGUGGAUUAUCAAUUAUUAAACAGAUUCCUCUANAUGAACUAAAAUACCGCCAAAUUAUUUAAGUUACAAUAAAUUAUUAUUUACUAUUUUAGUAUUUAUAAAUUAAAUUUUA